UUUAUCCCUCUUGUUCUACAAUAUAAAGAUUAUUUUUACUUUUAAAAUGAUUUUCUCUCUUUCUUACAACUGAGACAUGUUUUCUUCUCACAAACCCUUACUUCCUCCUCUAAGCUUUGGUGACCUCUGAUUCUGCCACCUUCUCUUUGUUUUUGCAUUUCCUGAUUCACCAUCACUUUUGAGUUUCACUUGCCUUUAACCAUUUCUUCACUUCGCCUCUUUAUUCAGGUACCAUAUAUACCCCAUUUUCUUACAUUUAUUGCUUCAUUUUCUUGUCUUUUCUAUGGCCAAUAUAGAAAAUAUAUCUUUCUACAUGAUAAACAAACGUGUUGGUGGGGAUUCUUCAUCAUCUACAAUAUUUGAAAACCCAUAUGUUCCACAUGCUUCCCUUAAGAAGUUAAUCGACCCAACCCUAAUUUUGUCGUGCUUAGCAAUAUGUCUAGGUAUGGAGAGAGUUCUAUAUAGAGUGGUGAUGGACCCUUUGGUGCCUCUUGUGAAGGGAGUACUAAUGGAUCUUUUGCAGGAAAUGAAGAGACGAAAUUUGGUAACCUUGAUAUGAGGGAUGUGUUUAUCUGUUUUCCUUCCUCUGUCAAGGCUAACAUAGAUAUGAAAUAUUCUAUAGUUGCUCAGAAUGAGUGAAGGCUCUUUAUUAUAUUAACAUUUUUAGGAUGGUGCAUGGUUGGGGCCCUAGUAGUGUAGAAAGUAGGGAUCACCUUAGUUUUUGAGCUAAUAUGCAUUUUCUGAUCGGUAUUAUCUUUUUCAUGGCCGUCAGAAAGACAUGGGUUAAUGGGAGCGUGCAAGUUUGGUGGAUCUGGCAGACAUCAGUUUGUACCGGUGGGUGGACCCUAAACUAGUUGGGACUAUAUCCUUCUACGAUAUAGGGAUAAAGUGGAGGAUGCUCGUGUAUAAUUAGGUUCGUCCAAUUUGAUUGGAUGGUUUCAAAUUUCGACUGCGUAAGAGGAUCUUCAGUUACUUUGAUAGGAAUUAUAUCCCUUUUUAUGAAUGCACCUUUUCCCAGCUGAAAUUCAGGUUUCCCUUCAACAGGUUUAAGGAAGGGUGAUAAGGCACUUAAAUAUUUCCCCUUCCGAGAUCCAUUUGGAUGUCUAGGCUUUUGUUAAGAAAGUCUUUAGGAGGAAGGUUAUGGAGCCAACUGACAUGCUAUAGACUCCUCUUCCUACUCUAACUUCAACUUGAGCGGAGGUUAUUGAGGAACAGACUCUUGCACACACUGAGGCUUUGCUCACUGCUCUGACCCAACUGGCUCAAGAAGAAAGGAGGAGAAAAAAUCCCAAUGACCUAUCUAUUUCGGCAACCAAAAAUAACAACAAACAACACUUGGACAAGGAACCUGCCUAAGAAGGAGGUCCAAACAAUAUAUUCAAAUCAUUUGGUCUUGGUGUUAUAGGGAUCACUAUUGUCAGUGCUCAAAAUUCUCCACUCAAGUUUCCAACCACUCUCCCUUCCCAAGUACCUAGCACUUUGCAGAAAGCACGUGCAUGCGCCUCUCAAUAGGAUCUCUUAUAUCCAAGGCCUUUUUGACAUAGGCAAAGUAGAGAUGGUAGCAGAGACGUUUUUUUUAAUGUUUUGAGGUUCUUCAUUAAUGACUCAGGUAGCUGAUGGUCGUGGAAAAACACUUUCUCCAGGUAAACCUUCUAAAGAGAAGGAGCAAUUGAAGGGAAAGAACAAAAAUGCUUCCUAUGAAUGCACUUAGCUACAAGAAAAUAAGUUCAGACUUUAGAAUGAUGUGGAGAGGUUGUGUAGUCUUCAAAAGGAGGUGGAUUCAUGUCGCAGUGCAAAUAGCAAGUGCAAUAUAAUUGUAUCCACAAAGAUUGGUAAUGUUUUACAGAUUUUUCAACAGUUUGAUGAUUCUAAGCAAAAGGUUAUUAAGAUUAGUUUGUUUGUAAAAAUUAGAUGACAAAAAUAAGUAGAGAUUUUCGUGUUAACAGUGAUAAAAUUUGUUGGGUUUUUUUCAUCAUCCUUAGCCUCAUGUAUCACCAUUGGUCAAUAAUAUGCUCUUCCAUACAAAUAUUAAUACUUCCAUCUAUUG